UGUGUCUGUUUUGUUAUCUUUUCGAUAGUUGUUUUUGUGUAUAAUUUUGUUUUAUGUGUUUUUUUCUAUGUAUAUUUUUGUAUCUUACUGAGCGAUUGUCUAUCAUACUUAAUUCUUUUGUACUUAAUAUUUUUUUAUUCACGGAUUGAUUUAGGUCUAUACAUUUUAUGAAAACUUUAAUUAGUGUUGUAAUAUUUCUAACUCGAAACUAUCAUACUUCUUUUCAAUCUUUUUCUAUAUUAUUUGCUUGAAUAUAUAUAAAUGUGUGCAUGCACUUCGGGUGACUGUAAAGUCUUUUUAGACAAACUGAUCUAAUGUCUAUUCCCAUCUUGAUUUGCAUGUUUGCUGGUUGGUUUGUUUUUACUCUUUAUUUACCGAAAUACAAGUUGUGCAGAGUACAAGAGCUUGGAAAAUCCUUGAAUGUAUGUUAAGCAACCUAUGAAAUUUGCAGUUUUUCUAGCUUAAAUAUUCAAAUUGAAUUUACGAAUAUUGACCAUCGGUAAUCGGAUGUUGACUCUUUUUUUAAAGACGUUGAUCCAGAUCAGACUUUCUGGCACCACUAACAAGACUGUGGAGACGGCAGGAAGUCAAUGCAUAUGUUUUUCUCAGCCGA
rnacentral:lncRNA from 1 species